CCUACGGGAGGCAGCAGUGAGGAAUAUUGGUCAAUGGUCGGGAGACUGAACCAGCCAAGCCGCGUGAGGGAUGAAGGUACAGAGUAUCGUAAACCUCUUUUGUCAGGGAACAAAGGCGGGGACGUGUCCCCGGAUGAGUGUACCUGAAGAAAAAGCAUCGGCUAACUCCGUGCCAGCAGCCGCGGUAAUACGGAGGAUGCGAGCGUUAUACGGAUUUAUUGGGUUUAAAGGGUGUGCAGGCGGUCUGUUAAGUCAGCGGUAAAAGCCCGGGGCUCAACCCCGGCCCGCCGUUGAAACUGGCAGUCUCGAGUUGGAGAGAAGUAUGCGGAAUGCGCGGUGUAGCGGUGAAAUGCAUAGAUAUCGCGCAGAACUCCGAUUGCGAAGGCAGCAUGCCGGCUCCACACUGACGCUGAGGCACGAAAGCGUGGGUAUCGAACAGGAUUAGAUACCCCAGUAGUC
rnacentral:rRNA from 1 species